rnacentral:rRNA from 1 species
GCAGCCGCGGUAAUACGUAGGUGGCAAGCGUUAUCCGGAAUUAUUGGGCGUAAAGAGCGCGCAGGUGGUUGAUUAAGUCUGAUGUGAAAGCCCACGGCUUAACCGUGGAGGGUCAUUGGAAACUGGUCGACUUGAGUGCAGAAGAGGGAAGUGGAAUUCCAUGUGUAGCGGUGAAAUGCGUAGAGAUAUGGAGGAACACCAGUGGCGAAGGCGGCUUCCUGGUCUGUAACUGACACUGAGGCGCGAAAGCGUGGGGAGCAAACAGGAUUAGAUACCCC